rnacentral:rRNA from 1 species
AAUAGAUACCCCGGUAGUCCACGCCGUAAACGAUGAGUGCUAAGUGUUGGGGGGUUUCCGCCCCUCAGUGCUGCAGCUAACGCAUUAAGCACUCCGCCUGGGGAGUACGGUCGCAAGACUGAAACUCAAAGGAAUUGACGGGGGCCCGCACAAGCGGUGGAGCAUGUGGUUUAAUUCGAAGCAACGCGAAGAACCUUACCAGGUCUUGACAUCCCGGUGACCACUAUGGAGACAUAGUUUCCCCUUCGGGGGCAACGGUGACAGGUGGUGCAUGGUUGUCGUCAGCUCGUGUCGUGAGAUGUUGGGUUAAGUCCCGCAACGAGCGCAACCCUUAUUCUUAGUUGCCAUCAUUCAGUUGGGCACUCUAAGGAGACUGCCGGUGAUAAACCGGAGGAAGGUGGGGAUGACGUCAAAUCAUCAUGCCCCUUAUGACCUGGGCUACACACGUGCUACAAUGGACGGUACAAACGGUUGCCAACCCGCGAGGGGAGCUAAUCCGAUAAAGCCGUUCUCAGUUCGGAUUGUAGGCUGCAACUCGCCUAC